rnacentral:rRNA from 1 species
GACGAACGCUGGCGGCGUGCUUAACACAUGCAAGUCGAACGGAAAGGCCCCCACCUUGGUGGGGGUGCUCGAGUGGCGAACGGGUGAGUAACACGUGGGUGAUCUGCCCUGUACUUCGGGAUAAGCUUGGGAAACUGGGUCUAAUACCGGAUAGGACCAUGGUUUAGUGUCUCAUGGUGGAAAAAUUAUUGUUUUGGUGCAGGAUGAGCUCGCGGCCUAUCAGCUUGUUGGUGGGGUAAUGGCCUACCAAGGCGUCGACGGGUAGCCGGCCUGAGAGGGUGGACGGCCAAAUGGGGACUGAGAGACGGCCCAGACGCCUACGGGAGGCAGCAGUGGGGAAUAUUGCACAAUGGGAGCAAGCCUGAUGCAGCGACGCCGCGUGGGGGAGGACGGCCGUCGGGUUGUAAGCUCCUUUCGUUAGGGACGAAGCCACACCUUUUUUGGGUGUGGUGACGGUACCUUUGUGAAGAAGCACCGGCUAACUACGUG